rnacentral:rRNA from 1 species
UACGUAGGGGGCAAGCGUUUGUCCGGAGUUACUGGGCGUAAAGCGCACGCAGGCGGUCUUUUAAGUUUGGAGUGACAGUUGGUGGCUUAACUGCCAAAGUGCUUCGAAAACUGAGAGACUUGAGGGCUUCAGAGGGACACGGAAUCCGGGUGGAGUGGUGAAAUGCGUAGAGAUCCGGAGGAACACCAAAGGCGAAGGCAGUGUCCUGGGGAGUACCUGACGCUCAGGUGCGAAAGCCAGGGGAGCGAACGGG